rnacentral:rRNA from 1 species
ACACACACGCUACAAUGGUCUGUACAAUAGGUUGCCAAGCCGCGAGGCGGAGCCAAUCCUAAAAGCAGGCCUCAGUUCAGAUUGCAGUCUGCAACCCGACUGCAUGAAGAUGGAGUUGCUAGUAACCGCAGGUCAGCUAUACUGCGGUGAAUACCGGUUCCCGGGGCUU